UGAAUAUGCAUAUAAUAAAUAGUUGGUUCUUUACAGAAUUUUUCAUCAAAACUUUAUUAAGAAAACUUUAACAUUACAACAAACACAUUUAUAGGAAAUACGAUAACAAAACCGCAAUUGGUAUAAGUGUUUGGAAAUAAAAACAGAACCUAACUGCAGUUCAGCAAAAUCUACCAACCCAGCCGUUAAGAGAGUAAAACAAUUUAGUGGCACGAUUAACUUAUGAUUCAUAGUUAUUAACUACAAUCAUGUGAUCAUGUAGAAUGAGCAUAAAGUGAUGCUAUCUCUUUUUUAAGUGCUAGCAGUCCAACACUAGAUUCCUUUCGACCGUUUGAACAUGGAAAGUUUUCGACGGUGGUUUCCACUCGAAAUCUUGUGUUCAAACUCUCAUGAUCAUAGAGUUUGAUAGUGCCAAUAGUUUUGGUCUCUGGGAUUAUAUAUCAGAGCAUUCCAUCGCCCGCCCAUCUUCCUUUGAACUUUUGAGUGGUGAGAUUGAAUCCUGGUAUUGUGCUUCUGCAAUAUCCUUUUCACCGCUUCAUUCCACACCAUCCCUGACCCAUCAUCUUUCAUGACGGUUCUGCACGAAAAUCAUAUAAUAUGGGACGUUCAUACGUCAGAAAAAUAUAGAAAACUCGAGAGACAGAUGGAGAGACACACUAAACAUACAUUUAUAAAAACGAGGGAUUACCCAUACAUUCUAAACAUAGAGAGAAACCAACACAAAAUGGUACCAACUUCUAAUUAAAAAACAGCCAAUACGCCAGCUAUUAUGACAUCAUAGAAAAGUAGGCGACGAUGAGUUUCCACACACCAUUACCAUUUGUGUCAUGAGUUAACAGUUUACAAUGCUAAGCCCCAGAGAUUGAAGGUAAAUUGGGAUGUCGCACCCCAUCCUGAGAACCAAAUUUUCAUCAUGGUGUUCAAGGUUGAAAGGUGGCAAAGUGCCAAACCUGAAUGUUGAGUUCAGAAUUGAUGGUCACAAAAAGGACAGCGAGAUGACAACACUAAUACUGAUGUGGUAUUUUUUUCAAAUUCAUCACCAAGGCCACCAAAAUGACCGUUUUUGGAGCACAUGAAACAAGCCUUCGAUAAGUAACAAGAAAUGUCCACUUCUUUAUGCUUUACGUUAGUAUUUGCCAGGUAUGGAACUAAUUUAAUUUUUAAUACACCUUAACGACAAUCGUUUAUGCAUUUCAUUCUCGUCCUAGUUUAUCAAAUGUUGUGGUCAUUAAACCCAAAAGCCUCUUGAGGAACUUGCAUAACAACAAUAGGAAAUACUCUGCAACUCAUCCGAAGAGCUUAAACACAUCUCCCUUCAACACCCCCCCCCCCUCGGCGCGCGGAGGCGGGCACCCCAAUUCAAAACAAAUGUUCCUGAUGUGAAUUCUAGUCAACUAAUCAAGUUAAACAAUGUAAAAUUUAUUAAACUUUAACGAAAAUGGGUGAUAUGAACAGAAGGAACAAGAUUAAUUAAAAAUAGAAACCACACUAAAGAAGUGGCAGCCAACUUUAAAUUGUAGUUGUUGCCAAAACUCACUUCUGUAUUCCACCCACAAGGGAAGUACGCAAGGAAAUUAAUUAAUUCAGGUGUAAUGAACCACACUAAAGACCUUCUUAGGCGUAGCAUAAAAGAGAAAAGGCAAUAAAAAUAAAGAAAUGAACAUACAAAGAUUCUAGGAAGCAACAAAGACCAUCAAGUAUUGAGAAUUAUAUGCAAGAUAUAUGUGAAACAGUGGAGAGAAGAAUCAACCCUACAUUAGAAAUAAUUAGGUUUUAGAAAGCGAUGGAGAGAAGAAUCAACCCUACAUUAGAAAUAAUUAGGUUUUAGAAAGCGAUGUACGCAUAUAACCAAAAACGGUGUGCAAAGAUACAAACAUAACAAAAACCGUAAGAUCAAAUAUACUCAAAUGCCAUGUUAAAAUUUAAAAAUAUAGAAGGUCGAUGAGUAGAAAUAGGAACGAAACUAAUAUUAGGAGUUACAUGCAAGCCUGAAUUAAACACAAUCCACAUUGUAAUGUAAAUAAAUAAAAUAUACUUUAACUGGUGCAUAAAUUGCUAUGACAAAUCAUACAAUUCAUGGAACUAAUUACACAAGGUAAAGACUACAGAAUAUCCAAGCUUGGGAAACUUAAAAGCAUAUACCAAAGGGAUACAAACCAUUUAUUUCGGAUCUCAGAAAUUUAAGCCAUUUAAUUAUGCCCACCAAGACCAAAUAGUUAGAGGCCCAAUUUUGGAAAAUUGUUCAUUUCAUGACAUUUGGGUGGUUCUCAAACCUAGAAGCCUUGAGCAAGGGUGAAGUGCAAUAUUCUAAAAACUUCAAAACACACAUCUUGAGCGAUAUGAUGCUUACUAAUAUGUAAUCGAUUUAUAAACCAUCUCCAUGACUCAAGUUCAUUACAAACUUCUCAUUGCAAUGAAAUGAAGAAGAAACCAAAAGUUCAUCAUCACCAAUUGGCACUAGUACAAAAACAUGUUUGCGCGACGAAAACUUGCGCGACGCAUUAAAUUACGUCGCGCAAAGACGUUUUGCGCGACGUACGUACCCCUACGUCGCGCAAAACAGCUUUGCACGACGUUACUUUGCGCGACGAAGAACUACGUCGCCCAAAACGGCUUUGCGCGACGUACGUACACCUACGUCGUGCAAAACGGCUUUGCGCGACGUAGUCCGUCGUCGCGCAAACUUUUGGCGCCAAACCCUUAGAAUUUACCGCUUUUUCCCACCUUUGCGCGACGCAUGCCCACCUACGUCGCGCAAAGUGUUUUGCGCAACGUAGGUGGACAUGCGUCGCGCAAAGUCACAAACUUUUUUUUCUUUUCAUUUGAUCAGUUUGGGAGGCAGAAACUGCAUACCCAGUUGCAGCAGCUACCUCCAUCGCCCAUCUCUCUCUUCAAAAUCGUCUACCAGAUCAGGUUUGAAGUUUGAAUUACUAGGAAUAGCCAUAAUGCCUAAAUCUGUAAUCGUUAGAAACAAUGUUAUUAUUUUGUAUGUCUUGCUCUCCCCAAUUCCCACAUUAGUUAACACAACUAGUUUUUAUUUUGGAUCUAUGAAUAACAACAAAGGAAUUUCGUAAUUCUAAUCAUCAACAAGAUCUCCCCAGUCCAAAUAAUUGCUAGAAAAGGGACAACUUUUUGAACUCUCCAGCAACCAAAGCCCCGAAGUAACAACCAAAAUUUGAUUUUCUCCCAAAGUUCCUCCACUCCACACCUUCACUUUGCUCAAAUAUCCGCCUUCCAUCUGAAUUACUACUAACACCAUGCACUGCAGGAGACCAUUUCUUUCUUACCCUUACCUUUGUUUCUCAGGGAGCAAAGAAACAGAACUCCGACCUAAUUUACAUUGUCAACCCCAUACAAUCUCCACCACAUAGUUGUAAACAUAUGAUCCACACUCCUUUCGUCCUCUUUGUUGCACAAAAUGCAUCAGUGAGGUGAAACACACACAAAAGGCAAUUUCCUGGAUCAUAUCACAUGUAUCCUCCAGUGAGCCAGUCCAAGCCAAAACUUUUACUUUUGGUGGAACUCUUGCUUUCAAAUCUGCCCAAAAGGUUGGAUGGAGUCCUGGAUUAGCAGCUUUGCUUUGAUUUGAGAAUCUAAUAUACGACUUACAUUAGAACUCCCUUCAAGUAUCAAUUUUCCAUUUCUUGCAUCAACGUUAUAUUAUAAUGCAAUAUACACACACACAUUCUGAUACCAGUAACAUUGCAGAGAUCUCCUCCAUCUAAAUUCCAUUCAGAUUUCUUAACCCGAAAUCCGAACCAUUGGCUCGUUGAAACUAAUUUCGUACAAUGCGUUUCCCAUCAAAUUCAAUGGUAUAUAUAUUUAGUAAGUACAUUUUAAUUUAUUUAUUUUGUACUCAUAGGCAAAAGCAAAAAAAAAAAAAAAAAACUUUGCGCGACGUAGGUACACAUGCGUUGCGCAAAAUAGCUUUGCGCGACGCAGGUGGACCUACGUCGCGCAAAGUUUUUUUUUUUUUUUUGGGGGUUCUUUUAUUGCCUUUUUCUUUUGUGGUAUCCACUUGUGUAAAUGUUUUAAAUUGAUGAUCAAAUUAGUUUAUUGUAUUCAUAUAGGAUUAAGGAAUGUAGCUAUAAAAAAUCAUCAAAAUCAGAGUUAAAACUACCGUUAAAUUGUGCUUUUUCAUUUAUAACCGUUGAAAAGUUUUGUCCCGUUACUUGAUCUCUGAAUGUUUGUUUUUUGCGAUUUUUGGCGGACGCAAUCUCGAAGCAUGUACAAAUAAGUUUGACGGUUGGAUCGUUAAAACUAGUUUCGUACAAUGCGUAUCCCAUUAAAACGAUAGAUUCCCUAACACUUCGAGUUUAUUUAUACUAUCAUUAAGUUUAACAUAACAUUUUGUGGUAUCCGUUUGUGUAAAUAUUUUAAAUUGAGGAUCGAAUCGGUUCGUUGUAUUCAUAUAGGCUCAAGGAGUGUAGCUCUAAAAAGUCAUCAAAAUCGGAGUUAAAACUACCGUUAAAUCAUGCUUUUUUGUUUAUAACCGUCGAAAAGGUUUGUCCCGUUACUUGAUAUCUGAAUGUUUUUUUUUCUCAAUUUUUGGCGUAUGCGAUCUCGGAAUAUAUACAAACAAGUUUGAUGGUUGGAUCGUUGAAAUUAGUUUCGUACAAUGCGUAUUUCAUCAAAACGAUAGAUUCCCUAACACUUGGAGUUUAUUUAUACUAUCAUUAAGUUUAACAUAACAUUUUGUGGUAUCCGCUUGUGUAAAUAUUUUAAAUUGAGGAUCGAAUCGGUUCGUUGUAUUCAUAUAGGCUCAAGGAAUGUAGCUCUAAAAAAUCAUCAAAAUCGGAGUUAAAACUACCGUUAAAUCGUGCUUUUUUGUUUAUAACCGUCGAAAAGGUUUGUCCCGUUACUUAAUAUCUUAUCUGAAUGUUUGUUUUUCUCAAUUUUUGGCGUAUGCAAUAUCGGAAUAUAUACAAACAAGUUUGACGGUUGGAUCGUUGAAAUUAGUUUCGUACAAUGCGUAUCUCAUUAAAACGAUAGAUUCCCUAACACUUAGAGUUUAUUUAUACUAUCAUUAAGUUUACACAUAACAUUUUGUGGUAUCCGCUUGUGUAAAUAUUUUAAAUUGAGGAUCGAAUCGGUUCGUUGUAUUCAUAUAGGCUCAAGGAGUGUAGCUCUAAAAAAUCAUCAAAAUCGGAGUUAAAAUAACCGUUAAAUCGUGUUUUUCGUUUAUAACCGUCGAAAGGUUUUGUCUCGUUACUUGAUCUCUGGAUGUUUUUUUUUUCCAGGUUUUGGCGUAUACGAUCUUGGAAUAUAUACAAACAAAUUUGAUGGUUGAAUCGUUGAAAUUAGUUUCGUAGAAUGCGUAUUUCAUCAAAACGAUAUAUUUCCUAACACUUGGAGUUUAUUUAUACUAUCAUUAAGUUUAACAUAACAUUUUGUGGUAUCCGCUUGUGUAAAUAUUUUAAAUUGACGAUCGAAUUGGUUCGUUGUAUUCAUAUAGGCUAAAGGAGUAUAGUUGGAAAAACUCAACAAAUUGGAGUUAAAAUAACCGUUAAAUCGUGAUUUUUCGUUUAUAACCGUCAAAAGGUUUUGUCAUGUUACUUGAUAUUUGGAUGUUUUUUUUUUCCAAUUUUUGGCGUAUGCGAUAUCGGAAUAUAUACAAACAAUUUUGACGGUUGGAUUGUUGAAAUUAGUUUCGUACAAUGCGUAUUCCAUCAAGUUCAAAGGUAUAUAUAUUUAUUAAGUAAAUUUUCGGUAAAAUUUAUAUUUGAAAAAAAAAAAAAAAAAUCUUGCGCGACGUCGAAAUGUAUACCUGCGUCGAGCUAUUUGUCAUUAUUUUGGCGGGGCAAUUAUGAAAAAUAGGCGCUUUUUUUUUAAAAAAAAUUCCCAAAUUUUCCAAACCAAAAGCCUUCCACUCUCUCAUCUCUCUCACUCGAUCUCUCUUCCCAAACCAAAAGCCUUUCGGUCUCUCAUCUCUCUCACUCCAGCCGACUAUCCUCCUCAACCAAUUCCACCCGAGUACCAGAAUCACUCUCAGACUCUCAGUCCCUCGACUCCCUUCCCUCGACUCUCCAACUCUGAAUCGUCCUCCUCCUCGUAGUGCUCACCAGCCAUCACCCCAUCACCCCCGCCGUCGAUUCUCUCCUCUUCGACAACACCCCCGCUGUCAUCCAUCUAAAAUUUAGGUAAUUUUGAUUUAAGGUUUUGUUAUUAAUGUGAAUUUCUGGUGUAGGGAUUUUAGGGUUUUUUAAAUUAGAAUUUGUAGAUUGAUGAUUGUUCUGUUGCCACCAUUUAGGGUUUUCCUAAAAUUUGAAUUGCAUUUGUAGAUUGAUGAUUGAUGGCUGGUGUUAUGUAUGUUUAUAGAUGAUUGGUUGAAAUUUCAUGCGUUCAUUUGAGUUAUAAGUUGUAUGAAUCUAAGAAAUAUUUAAGGUCAAAACUAAUGAACCUGACUUAGUAGCCGUAAAUCAUAGUUAACUACAUCCUAUGACUUUUGAACCGAGUUGAGAUUUCCAUAACCAAAGGGUGGGUUUGGUAUUCCGUUUUUCUUUGGCUUCGGUUCGAUUUUUUUGGGUUUUCGAUUUUUCAAACCUAUUCCUACUACCUUAAUCCACACUUUACACUGAUCUUUUGUCUUCAUGGUAUAUACGGGAUUAUGGAUUAAGGACAAAGUCAUAAAUCCUUGUGUGUCUGUCCUGUGUAUUUUAUGUCAUUGAACUCAGUUAUGUUUCCAUUUUGCUGAUCAAGUAUUACUUUUUGGCUUUAUUCUCGCAGAAUCUCAUUGCAACUGGAGGGGUUGAUACAAAUGCUGUAAUCUUCAUUACUAUUUUAUCUUCUCUAUUUACUGGAGUUGUCAUUAGCUUUGUUUGUCAUUCAUUAUUAACUUGGCCACCGCUAAACUCUGCCUACCUCACAGUUACAAGUUUAACCUUGGGACUUUUUAUGUACAUCUAUGUGGAUCUACACGGAUUUAAAUUUUAUAUUCUAAAGUUACUUUUUAUGCAACUGGGGGUGGUGAUCAACCUCCCUGACCCAAACACAAAAAGGAGAUCAGGAAAAAAAGAGGAUAAAUUGGAGUCAAUAAAGAACUUUACAUGCAUGCAAUUUAGAUGUUAUUGCAUAGGUUGUAAGGGUGUAACCAAUCAGAUAUUCAACCUAGUGUACUCCAUCUUUUGAUGUUGUAUCAUCAUUUUUCCCCUUUAAUGUUGCAGACAGUUCGCAUAUGGCAAGGCUCUGAUGAUGGGAACUAUAACUGUAGGCACAUUGUGAAGGACCAUACUGCUGAGGUAAAUGGUUUGGACUUGAGUUCUCCAAAAUUUGUUCAAAGUUAAAGCCCUUUUAGGCGGACAAAAUAUGUAAUGAGCAGCAAAUCCAAAAAAGGACCGCAGUGAAUCUUCCUCUUUUUGUACAUUUUUGCUCACAAAAUACACAUACUGCCACGGUUUAACUAAUUUGAUCCUUCCUCUUCGUGAAACGGGUGCCUCUUCUUCCAGAUUGUCUACAGGAGAGGUCAAUUCCUUGAAGGAGGAAGUGACAACCCUAAGAGGUCAGGUUGCGGCCCAGGGCGACCAUAUUAGGGCCCAGGACGAGAGGAUGAAUAUGAUUGUUCAGGCCUUAGCGAUGUCCGGCCUCCAAAUCCCGACGAUGCCAGCACCUAAUGUUGCUCCACCUUCGACUUCCCAGCCAUUUUGCCCCGACGAUACCGAGUAGCAUGAUGUAUUAAACUUAGAAGACUUGUAGUUUUUUAUUUUUUUGUUCGGACAAACAUACAUUUUCAUAUAUUCUAUAAUUAUUUACUUUUUCUUGGUUUAUUAAUUAAUUUUUAGAAUGUAAUUAUGAUAUUUAUUAAAAAUUAAAAAAAAAAUAUAAAUGACAAAAAAAAAAUUAAAUAAAUAAAACUUUGCGCGACGUAGGUAGGCAUUACGUCGCGCAAAGUAGCUUUGCACGACGUAGAUCCCUGCGUCGCGCAAAGAUACUUUGCGCGACGCAGUGCCUACCUACGUCGCGCAAACCCUUCCUUCACUGCCUUCGCGCGACGGUUCUUGCGCGACGAAGGUUCGUUUGGCUAAUUUUUGGGCGACGUAUUUUUGACUUUGCGCGACGACGGUCCUACGUCGCGCAAAGUAUUUUUUGUACUAGUGUGGUAAUAGAUCUAACCCCCCCUAGAAACUAAUUAAACCAACGUGUGCGACUAAUGCGGAAGUACGAACAUAAUAAAUAUUUCUUCUUUCAACAAAAUAUCCACAAUAAAAAAAUUUAAAGAACAAUACAAGUAAUUACUUCAAGCUAGUGAACCAUGCACACUAAAGAUUCUCUCAAGCGCAUAAUAAAAGAGAAAUUGGCAAUAAAAUUGAAUCCAUGAAUAAAAUGCUAUUAGGAUUGGCAUGGAAAAAAAUUUGGAAUAUGUCACUUCCAAUACUAAGAUUCUAGGAAGCAACAAAACCCAUCAAGUACCAGAGAAAAGGAGGAUCAAACCUUCGCUACAAAGUGAUAGAAACAUGCCAUUAAGAACAGUGUGCAUGGAUAGAAAUAUUACAAAAAAGCAAGAACAAACCUACUCAAAUACCACGGAGAUGAAUAGAUCAAAAGGUAGUACCCAGUGCACAAGGCUCCCGCUUUACGCAGGGUCUGGGAGAGGUGAAUGUCGGCUAGCCUUACCCCCAUUUAUGAAGAGGCUGCUCCCAAACGGAGAUGAAUAGAUAUAGGAAACAAAUUAAAACAAAGAUAUCUGAAAGGGCUACAUGCAUGUUAACAUAUAUAACAGAAAAAACCCGAACUUAUAUUUAGAGUUACACACAAGUCCAAAUUGUAAUAUAAGAAUAGUCAUUUCAAGACAAAAAGAAACACAAUAUUUUAACUAGUGCAUAAAUUACUCUAGAAAAUUUUGACAAACAAGGUAAAAAAGCUCAACCUUUGGGAAUUCAAUCAAAAGGAUUUUCCAAAGGCAUAUUGAAGCCAUUUAUUUUGGACCAGAGAUAAUUAAGCCAUUAGUUAUGCCCAAACAUAAGAUGUGGGUUAGGCUAAUUGGCUAGGACAACGUAUCCGCCCCAUUGUACCUAAGUAUGAAUCCCCCAUUGCACCUAAGUAUGAAUCCCCGUCCUAGUAGAUUAAAGUAGUUUAGAAUAUCACUUUGCCAAAUAUUAUGUAACAAAGCCAAAAUGUUAGGUCAUCUCCAAUGCACCGGAAAAUUUAGACUCAAAUAAUGUUAUAUUUGAGUCUAAAAAUGAGAGGCAAGGACUCGCCAAUGCACAUGAGACUUGGGCCAUUCCAAUGCACUAGAAAAUUUUGACUCGAAUCUCAUAUUUGAGUCUAGAUAUGAAUCAAACAUCUCCAAUUCACUAGAUACUUAGGACUUAUAUAUAAGUUUUCAGCUAAUAUGUGACUCUAAUUUGGAGUCUAAGGUGGAUCCCAUGCCAACAAUAAAAAAAUGCUUUUCAACCAAGGAAAAUAAGAUGAGUUUUGACCCCAACCAUCUCUAAUACACAUACCAAAAUUGUUAAAAAUCACAUUGAGAGUUUUGACUUUAUGUUUUCUCUUCUAAGGCACACACCUUAAUUGUUAAAACUGAAAUGUGGGUUUGACUCCAAUGUUUUCUAUUCCAAGGCAUUGACCCAAUCUUAACAAUGUGCAUUGGAAGAGAAAACCAAACACUCAAACCCACCACUAUUGUUGGACUCAAAUAUAAAAAUAUAAGUUAGGAAUACAAAUCUUCCAUCAUAGAUGACCUACCAUUUGUUCAAAAUAUUUAUUAAAUUGUUCUUUGGUGCUCAAACCUAGAAUUGGCCUUAAUAUGAACCUCGUCCAGACCUUCAAUCUUAUGUUACAGAAACUUUCUGAAUAAAUUAAUCAAUAACCAUAUUUUUUUCAAUAACAACCUGCUCUGCACAAUUAAUCUGGUAUGUAUAUAGACUUCAGACUUGCAAGCUAAGUUUCUAACCGAUUAUUAACACCCACCACCACAACAACUAAUCUUCUAAUCUGAAGUGUCAAACAUCUAAUUAAUAAGGAACCCUUGAGCUACUACAAUUUACUUAUACACUCCAAUUUGGGUAUCCUAUCAGGAAUUGGGAUAGGGCAACUGUAAUCAUUACUCUGAUAAAAACUUAAACCUCACAUGGAAAACGGAUUAGAUAUGUAAUGCUCUUGAAACCAGUCUUGAAAAGAGGGCAUCCAGUGUGAUGCUUGCUAUUUGUAAUUUAUUCUUAAAUCCAUUGUCCAUGACUCAAGUUCAUUAUCAUCAACUAGUAGUUGACCUAACCCAUUACAUGAACUAAACCAACAUAUUUAACUAACCCGAAAGCAUGAAGAUAACGAGUAUUUCUUCCCAAAAACCAAAUAUCCAGAUUAAAAAUUUGAACAUAUGUAAAAACAGUACGAAACAGAAAAGAAAUCGAUAAACAGAAGUACAAUCAAGGAGAUUACGAUUGAUACGUACCUUGAUGAUUAAACCUGCGGCAAAUUAAUGGAAGCAGAUCUGCUAUACCACUCACUGACGCCAAAACAUCAACAAGUACUACACUUGUACUUCCUACUAAAAAAAAAAAAAAGGUCGUACCCAGUGCACAAGGCUCCCGCUUUACGCAGGGUCUGGGAGAGGUGAAUGUCGGCUAGCCUUACCCCCAUUGUCCAAAACAUCAACAAGUACUACACUUGUACUUCCUACUAAAUAUAAUUAAUUAAAAGGGAAUGAUUAGUAAAUUAAUCAUAAGAAAAGAACGAUAUAAAACAAAUUUAAUUAUAUAUGCUUCCAUAACAGAACACCUUUCUUUUUUUUUUUUUUCUGAAAAGGAAUUUUGAUUUAAGAAUCUCACUUAUGACAAAAACAAAAGAAAGCUGAAAUCUGGCCAGAUAACAAAGAGUAACAUGUGUCCAUAUUUAGCAGAGCUCUGACCUUAGGGUUUAUAUUUCCUUUUAUCGGCCGAUUUGGGGAGAAGAGCUCAAUGUAUACUUAUAUGAUAAUUUACAGUUUUUAUAGGGAGCUGAUUUUCACACACCUUUUAUAGCUUUUCCUACACCCCUCUUUGUUCCAGGCCAUCGGAUUGAAUAAAUCAGACAAAAACAAUGGACAUGAUUAGCCAAGGGUGUGUAGGAAGCUAUAAAAGGUGUGUGUUUAUCAUUUCCCUUUUUAUAUGACAUGCACAGAGAAAUAAGCUUGCAUGAAGAAGCAGAAGAAGAAGAAGAAGAGGAGGAGGAGGAGGAGGAUGAAGAGGAUUUUCAUAGAAAAUAAAUAAUAGAAAAAUUGCAGGAAUUUCCAUGAAAAUAGAAGAGGGAUUCGGAGGGUUCUCAUAAAAUAAUUUAGUAUAAAAAUGGAUAACUGCGGGAAUUUCCAUGAAAAAUUGAACAGUAAGAUAACAAAAAGAAGGCGUACCUUGAAGAAACAAAAGAACCCCAAACCGUCCUCUUCAAACUAUUUGAAGAUCUAGCACGGGACAAUCAAAAGGCACGCUUUCAAACGUAUUCCAGAGACCAGACCGUCAACCAGCAUUAAAUUUAUAGGUAAUACUAAAAUUUUAAAUUAAAUUUAAAUGAUGUAUCAGUAAUAAUAAAUAAAAACAUUAAUGAACAUUUAAUUAAUUAUUUGAUUUAUAAACUUUUGUUUAAAAAUUUAUCUUCUUAUAAAUACCAUAGCCAUUUUUUACAAUUUUAAAUUCAAUAAAAAUUAAUAAAAUAGGAAAAUAAAUACAUUAGAAUAAC
rnacentral:lncRNA from 1 species